UUAUCAGCUAAAUAAGGGAAACAGUUAAUUGCAUCUCCUUUGUGUCCUGUGUUUUGUGAUGUUCCUUCUGUUAGUCUCUGCUGGCCAAAGAAUCAGUGAGGUGGUGUCUAGCAUGUAACAAAAUUACUGGAGGACUCAGGGGCUUACCUGAAAUGACAUUUAUCUCAUUGUUUUUAGCUGACUAGAUUUCAGCUAGAAAGAAUCCACUUAAAUGUAUUUAGUUCUCUCGAUAUUUGAAGCCCAAGGUCUCAUUCGCUGAAAUUUUUUUGAUGCAACACUAUAACAUGACUUUUUGUUACACUAAUUAUUUCCUUCCAGCUGUUACAAGAGCAGCUGCUGUAUAUUGCACACACAAAGCAGCAGCAAAGGUGCAGCCUUUCUCGUUAUCUUCUGCUGAUGUUUCUACUACCUCCAGGCCUAAGUUCCAUUUCUGACACCCCCGUGGGACCUGUUAAAAAUGGAUACAACAAGGAGGAAAAUUCAGGGUGAGUGAAAAGAAGGCUCAUGAAGCUGGCCCAAAGAUUUGACAGAUACCCCAGUGGGGAAGCCACAGUUUUUGGGACCACUCUUGUGAUCAUAUGCACAAGGCAUUAUUUUCCUGGAUGACUUCGUAUUUGAUACACAGCAUAUUCUGUAUUUAGUAAAUUCAGCUGAUAAGUAAUCACAUGAACAGACAGCACCGAUAUUGUAUUCUGUCAGCAGAAGAGCCUUCUGCAUUUCACACUUGGGUAUUUUUGACUGCUAUCACAAAGAUGAAGGCUGAGUGACAGAGGUGACUUAUCUUGACAAGAGAUACUGCUGCUUUGCAGAGGACCACAAGGAGGAAAAACAAGACAAUCAAGACAGAAGACUUGAUUUACGUCCUGUUGUACAUACAGUGCAUCUGGAAUUAUAUUUUCCUUUGAAGACUGCUUCAAGCACAGAACUGACAAUGAGGUAUAAUUUAUCCACAAGAGAAACAGCAGGGUCAGCAUUCCAAAGUAAAAUUUAAUGUAAGUGUUGAGUGUAGUAACAAUAACUGUGCUAGUCACUCAUCUGUCUUACCAUCCAUUACAGAAUACACAAUAUACCAAAAUUUAUAUGUUCUGUAUUUAGUAUCUGGUCAUUAUAUGUUAUAUUCAGCCUCCUUGCUCUUUGUACUUGCUUAUUCUUUUUCAAAUCCCAGAGAGUCUUGGAUAUUUUGGUUGUCUGUAUUUGGAGUGAGACUGCACAAUAAGGCACAAUAAAAUCCCCAUGGCAUUAUUUCCUUAGUGUAUAGAUGGCCACACAGAAGUCAAUAGGUACAUUUAAUAAAGUAAGAUCCAAUUCAUAGGAAAAAAAGGAUUAUUUCUCUAUAUAAAUUACUCCUAUAAUGGUCAUUGAUUUCCAUUGUCUUAAUUUCCAGGAAGAUUCUGUACAAUUUGAUCUAUACUCUGCAAUCCUACUUGACUUAUAUAAAACUUCUGAAUGAGGUCUUUCUUUCAAUAGUCAGGACAAUAUCCUACAGACCAGUACUAAGAAAGAAAGACAAAUCAACAUUUUUCCUAGCCUGUGGGCUCCUCUUUUUCAUUGUCUGAACAAAAGGAGAAAAAAUAUUUCUAGUAUAAAGAAGGCUUAAGUUAAAUUGCAUUAGAAUUGAACAUUUUAAAGCAAUAUGUAGCUCAUGGACAAAAUUAAAUAAUUUAGUAAAUCAGAACUCUAAAGUAACAAUUUGAACAUUAAAAAAAUAAUAUUCAUUUGAGCUUCUUCUUUAAAACAUUUCUCUUACAGUAUAAAAGGUAAUCUUAGGUCCACUUAACACCUGAAAGACAAGCAGUUUUAAUUAUGCAUAUGAUGCAAAAGAAUCAAUUAAGCAACAGAGUAAUUGUAAUAUGACUAAGGUCAAAUAAGCAAGACAGCAGCAGAAUAACAAAUAGAACUCUUUUUCCUUCUGUAGUAUCUAUACAUAAAUGAGAUGGAAAUUAAAAAGUAAUUACGAGAAAUAUAUUGAAUUUGUAUUCCUAAUAGACUACAGGGUUUUGGCUUUCUUUUCUAUGCUCUGGCAGGGCCCAGGGGACUCAUACACAUUUGCUGGUAGGUGCAGGAGGUUGCUCAGCUGCAAUUCAUUGAUCUGUGUACCACAGGUUGCAAUUGUUCUGUAAUUAUGCUUUUUAUUCUGAAAGCAUGGCUCAUCAUGCUUUGGCUUACUGAGACACACAUUUGAGAUUUGAUAGAAGAAACUGUGCUUUACAGUAUACAAUAUGUGUGCAAAUAAGCAACAAUUUCAUGUGUGGAAAAAUAUCACACAGCUUUAAAACUGGCCUGUGGUUUGCCUUGCCUUAUUCUUGACCAACAUUCUAAAACUGAAACAAAUAAAACUUUGCAAUUAACUUUUUUUUUUUUUUUUAAUUAUGAGGUGAAAUCAGGGCUGAAGUUUAAGUUUUCUCAUUUAAUGGACCAAAUUCACAUAAAAUGUCCAUUAUAUUUUUGUAUUUACAGAAGAGAACAGUGCAACACUAAUCUACCUGGAGCUACCUUGUGUACUCAUAACAAUGUCAUUUCUAUAUAUAGUUUAGUCCACAUAAAUAGAAUUUAGCAGAAUAUCACAGUCAUAUGCUUGAUUAUACAUGAUGAAUGGUAACUUCUACCAGGUAUUCUUUGCUACACAUACUUUAGCUUUCAGGCAGAUAAUCUGCUUUCAGGCAGGAAUGGCAAUGAAUAGUGAGCAUUAUCAGGUUUUAUGUCCUUUUCUGGUUUAAAAUGCUGUCAUAAGGGAUUCCAGGCCAUGUUAUGACUAUCCACACCAUGGAUAUCACCUUCUCCUGCCCCCGCUGCUUUAAUUCUUUUGGAAAAAUCAGUUGCCAUCAAUUAAGUGUAUUGAAGGAAGCAAGGCAAAGGAGAAAAUAGGAAAAUAACUACUUUCCAUACUUUUUGGUUUCCAGCUGGGAUAAGCCAGAAAAC